UCACGAUGGGAAUGCUUUCGGUUGCAGGGGUUUUCUUUUGGCUUCUGUAGAUCCACCCGUUGAAAACACAUGCUGCCAUUAAAAACACGCUCCAUAGAUAUUGCAGCUGAAAAAAGCAUGCUACUGGUUCGAAUCCACCCGUUGAAAAUAAAACAUGCUACCGUUAAUAAACACGCUCCAUAGAUAGAUAUUGCAGCUGAAAAAAGCAUGCUACCGUUAACAAAAACACGCUCCUAUUCCUUAACCUAUUAUAUAUAUGGCCAUUGAUUUAGAAGAAUAGCUCAUCCGCAAUGUUCAGUGUUUCCCUGCGUACAUUGAUUCGGAAUGUACUAGCUAUGCGUACUCCUCUGGUUAUUGCUGCUUCAAGGCCAUGGUAAGCAUAGAGAUGAAAGAUUUUAGGGAACUGAAUUUAUGGGUUCGUGGUAUAGGGCUCGAUGCCCUUUCCUGCAAGGGGUGAAUUUACCAUUUGGUGUGCCCUAUCUGCGGAGGAAUGUUGUCCGAGGGAGUGAUGUCUCCAACGCCUCAGAGGUCAUCCGCAACACCAAUCAUGUGCGGAGGAAUGUUCAAAAUUUGCAGAGGUAGAAGAAUGCUCAGCCAAUAUAAGGGAAGACAACAUGUAAGCAUGUUGCACGCAUUGCUGGAGAUGGUGUAGCUCCAGGAAAACAACAAUGAUGUGGAUAACAUAAAGCAGGCAUUUAGCAAAUGGCUACUUAUGCUAAAAGUGGAGUAAUUUUAAAAUAAAUUAAAAUUUGUUGUGAACUUGAAUUUAUAUAUAUUUAAUAGUAAUGUUAAUAUACAAAUUUUUUGUUUCAUUCACAUUGAUGUUAACAGUUUGUUUGUUGAAGUCAGAUUCACUUCAGUGACUUAAUGAAUGUCUAGAAAGUUCUGUUUACAUCAUAUUCUGUUUUGUUGGUUUCUUUGUCCAUCAUUCUAUGUUUUUUUUUUUUUUUCUUAGCUUUCAUUCUGUUUUUGUUUGGCAUGGCCAUGUCGCCUCUGUUUUUAUUGUCUGUAAGUUUUACUCUAAUAUGUUUGGUAUGUGUUUUUCAUUUGUAUUUUUAUGUGUAGAUUGUUUUCAAAAAGGCUUUUUUGGUAUUUUGCAUUUGUCUUUUUUCGUGGGUGGUGAUUUUUCAGGCAGUAGUGAUGAUGAUGAUGAGGAGGAGGAGGAGGAGGAGGAGGAGAAAUGAAGCAGAACUACAUAUCACAAGCACGAGGAAAUACAAUAGUAUUGACGAUAAGGAGGAUGGUGAGGAAAUAGCCAAACAGCUAGUGAAAGCUAUAAAAUUUUGUUUAUCUGAAGUCCCAAAUAAAUAGAGAGUAGCCACAUACUGAUCAAGUGUGCAACAUUAGUUAAUGUUCGGAUUUGGUUCAAGCAGUCGAUGUGGCAAAAGCAGUUGGCAUUCGUUGAUUACUAUAAUGAUAAAUACCUUUGCCAUGUCUGUAGAAUGAUGUCUAGAGUGCAAAGUGAUGCCUAGAGUUUCUCAAUUGUUAUUGAAGUCAAUGCAGAACAAAUUUUAAUUUUACUAUUGCACUUUUGCAUCAUUUUCUGAAAUCGUUCAACUUAUUUGUAAAUGGAUAUGUAAAUAGAUUUGUUGUUUAAUAA